rnacentral:rRNA from 1 species
UACAUGGGGUGCAAACGUUGCUCGGAAUUAUUGGGCGUAAAGAGCUCGUAGGCGGUUUGUCGCGUCGAAUGUGAAAACCCUGGGCUCAACCCCGGGCCUGCAUUCGAUACGGGCAGACUAGAGUUCGGUAGGGGAGUCUGGAAUUCCUGGUGUAGCGGUGAAAUGCGCAGAUAUCAGGAGGAACACCGGUGGCGAAGGCGGGUCUCUGGGCCGAAACUGACGCUGAGGAGCGAAAGCGUGGGGAGCAAACAGG